ACCGUAUCACGUGUGGCCAAAGUCAAAUCCAUUAUUGAACAUUGGCACUCCGCUGAUUUGGUGA
rnacentral:pre_miRNA from 1 species